rnacentral:rRNA from 1 species
GACGAACGCUGGCGGCGUGCCUAAUACAUGCAAGUCGAACGCAGUUGCGAACGGGUGAGUAACGCGUAGGUAACUGCCUCAUAGCGGGGGAUAACUAUUGGAAACGGUAGCUAAUACCGCAUACUGUGAGAUGGACCUGCGUUGUAUUGGGUAGUUGGUGAGGUAACGGCGCACCAAGGCGACGAUACAUAGCCGACGUGAGAGGGUGUGAGGCCAGACCGGGACUGAGAGACGGUCAAGAACCGUACAGAAGGCAGCAGGAGGGAGUAUUGGGGAAUGGACGGAAGUCUGACCGAGCAACGCCGCGUGAGGGCAGGAGGGUUUCGGAUCGUAAAGCUCUGUUGUUAGAGAAGCGGUAACUAACCAGAAAGGGACGGCUAACUACGUGCCAGCAGCCGCGGUAAUAC